rnacentral:rRNA from 1 species
UGCCAGCAGCCGCGGUAACACGUAGGAGACGAGCGUCAUCCGGAUUUACUGGGUGUAAAGCGCGUGCAGGCGGUUUGUUAAGUUGGAUGUGAAAGCUCCCGGCUAAACUGGGAGAGGUCGUUCAAAACUAGCAGACUAGAGUGUGGUAGAGGGGAGUGGAAUUCCUGGUGUAAAGGUGAAAUUUGUGGAGAUCGACAGGAAUGCCCGUGGAGAAGUCGGCUCUCUGGUCCAUACCUGACGCUCAGGGACGAAAGCUAGGGUAGCAAACAGGAUUAGAUA